rnacentral:miRNA from 12 species
GGUGUGCGACCCCCCCACCGCUGCCGCCCGCCGGGGUUCCUGGCGAUGGGAUUUUUUACCGUUUCUGCCCAAAAUCACAUUGCCAGGGAUUUCCAACGGGCCCCAGCCCCCGCCGCCG